rnacentral:lncRNA from 1 species
UGCCGGGAGCUAUGGGACUAAUAUAGCACCGAUCGCGGCACACAUGGUAUUAAUUUACUCGACACGUGUGGGUUACCCUGGUUGGGGUCUAGGCCUAUUGACGUGAAGAAACCACAACCACGGAAAUCGUCGAUGAAACGCAUCCAUAGAAUACUCUUCAAUUCUUUUUUAGACUUUCAUUCUGCAAAGAUCUACCAGGCAUGCAUUGCGAACGGUCUACGCCAGCACGGUAACUUCACCACUCGAAUAUCUAGAUAUACUUCAUGUGUCUACUCGAACCCUCGAAAUAUGGACUGUUAAGACAGAACCGUUGUCAUUUGCAUCACAUGAAAUAUACAUAGUAUGGGAAGAUCGAUCCAAAGUGAUAUGCAUUUGUCAUGUUGGCUCGCUGUUGCGAUAACUACUUUGGCACACAAUGCCAUUGUAACACCCACCAUCAGCUGAUCGGCUGUUGCCCUAACUCUGGAGGCUUAAGGCCACCAAGAUCGCCAAGGUGUGGAUUUUCAGCCAGCCAUACCACGAUUUAAGCUUAUAUACUUAUGGAGUCCCAUAAUAAUAUUUUGUAUUCGACCAACGAGUUAGAUAGAUAAUGGAUACUCGGGAGGAGAGGAGACAUAAAUCACCAAAAG